GACGAACGCUGGCGGCGUGCUUAACACAUGCAAGUCGAACGGAAAGGCCUCUUUCGGGGGGUACUCGAGUGGCGAACGGGUGAGUAACACGUGAGUAACCUGCCCUUGACUUUGGGAUAACUUCAGGAAACUGGGGCUAAUACCGGAUAGGAGCUCCUGCUGCAUGGUGGGGGUUGGAAAGUUUCGGCGGUUGGGGAUGGACUCGCGGCUUAUCAGCUUGUUGGUGGGGUAGUGGCUUACCAAGGCUUUGACGGGUAGCCGGCCGGGGAGGGGGACCGGCCACAUUGGGACUGAGAUUCGGCCCAGACUCCUACGGGAAGCAGCAGUGGGGAAUAUUGCCCAAUGGGUGGGAGCCUGAUGCAGCAACGCCGUGUGCGGGAUGACGGCCUUCGGGUUGUAAACCGCUUUCGCUCAUGACGAAGCUUUGUGUGACGGUAGUGGGUAAAGAAGCACCGGCUAACUACGUG
rnacentral:rRNA from 1 species